GACGUAGGGCGCGAGCGUUGUCCGGAUUUAUUGGGCGUAAAGAGCUCGUAGGCGGCUUGUCGCGUCGUUCGUGAAAACCUGCAGCUCAACUGCAGGCUUGCGGUCGAUACGGGCAGGCUAGAGUUCGGUAGGGGAGACUGGAAUUCCUGGUGUAGCGGUGAAAUGCGCAGAUAUCAGGAGGAACACCUGCGGUGUAGACGGCUUACUGGACCGUGACUGACGCUGAGGCACGAAAGCGUGGGUAGCAAACAGG
rnacentral:rRNA from 1 species